AUUAGCCAUGUCAAUAUGAGUGGGCGGGUGAAUAGGCUGCGGUGUUAUCACCCACUAAAUUAACCACAGUACUCAUUCAAUAGCAUGAUAACACUUCUCAGAUGCAUUAUGGCGGGUAUUUUGCGACCUCUGGUUCUCUUAGACUUAUUACAAAAUGGCUGACCAGACAUUCUCAAGAUCCAAGCUCAAGAGGCUCAAUCGAAAAGCUAGAGUUGACAAAAUUGGCAAGCAGCUGUGUAUGGAGAAGAAGAGCCUUGAAUGUGCCGAGAAAAAUGUUCAGAAUUGGAAGAAGAAGGCAAUAGAUUAUAAACUGGAACUCAACGUGUAUCGAGCUAAGCAAUUACGGACAGGAACUCUGGGAACAUCCUGCAGUCACCAACGACCACUAAAGUUACUAACAGCAGCCAUGAAGACGAGUGCAAUCAGUCUACCCAAGGCAACUCCAAGAAUGUGUACGAAUGCUGAUAUUAUGCGAGGAGUUACUGUAGUUCCAGAGAUAAGUGAGAAAUGUUUAGCAGAUGGGGGUGGUGAUGUUCAUAUAGGAAAUGGUCGGUUUGGAACAUGCUCUCGUAUGAUUUUUAAAGAGUGUUUUGACGUCUGUGUCAAAACAUUUACUUCCGACUCCUCAAUCGAAUCGAUUAGGCAUGAAGCCAGUAUAUUACUUACAUUAAAUUCCAGCCCUUAUAUACCACACUGUUUUGGUAUUUGUUCCACCAGGAGAGCUUUAGUAAUGUCUAAUGUAAGCGUGAAGCAGCAACAAGUUUCAUUAUAUUCUGCCUUGUAUUCGACUAACGAAAUUAAAUUAAGCCCUAAGACAUGGAUGCAAAUACUGAUCCAAAUUGUGAUGGUCUAUCAUACAUGCACAAGCUGAGUAUUCUUCACAAUGAUCUUAAAGUAGACAACGUAGUAUUAGGGACUACUUUGUUAGAAUGUAUCCGGCCAUGUAUUGUGGAUUUUGGAAAGGCAUGUAAAGAAAAGCAUGCUAAGAAGUACUGCCUGACCGAGGAACAGAAAGUUAUUUACAUAAAAGAACACACUCAAGUAGCUCCAGACCUCCGCGAUGGGCUUGUUUUACAGAGCACACAGAGCGAUAUAUACUCAUUAGGUAGAAUAAUGAAGAAGAUGAACUCCAUUGUAAUUAAGUCAACUGAACUUGCCCAUGUAAUUAAGGAAUGUCUUUCUUAUCAUGCUCAUGACCGUCCUAGCUUAGAAACCAUUUCUCUUAAUGUUGAAUGACUAUGUGACUAAUUAUGUCUUACAUUCAUUCGUUCAUGUUUAAAUCUGGUGCUAGCUUUAACUAUGACAUAGUCUAUGUAUAAUUGUAGGCAAAUCCGUGCUCUCUAAUGGAAGGCUGACAAGGUUAGCUGUAAGUCGGGAUGCGUGUUGACCCAGCCAUUUGUUUGAGAGUCAUUAAAAGCAUUAUGGUAGAGAAUUGGCCUGAAGCAGUUAGUUAUGAGUCACAUAGUGCGUAUUGGCUGCUCAGGUUGGGCCAUGCAUGCAUUAACAAUUAACAAUUAACAAUGAUCAACAACGUUUUUUCACCAGAUUUACACAUACAAUUUCAGAUAGUAGUCUAGGUGACUCUAACAUUUCACCAUUGCUAUUUCUAUAUGUUUUCGGUCCAUACUUAAUUCUAGGACAUACUACAAUAGGAAAAUCUACUGUGCAGCCAUUGCCAUAUCUAUCAUACAAAAUAUACCAACUACCUAUAAAAUAUUCAUCGUUAAAAUCAGUUUGUUGAAGUUGGAGCUUUCCGCGGGUCAUUUGGGUUCCUCGAUCUUUAAAUAGGUAACGAAAUACAUCUAGCCGGAAAUCUAUAGUUAAAUUACAGGAUUUUACAGUACCUAAAUUUAAACUACAUUGAAUGGACAGAACAAAUCUUCUUGUUGCGUCGCUUAUAAGCUCGGUAUG